UACGUAGGGGGCAAGCGUUGUCCGGAUUUAUUGGGCGUAAAGAGCGUGUAGGCGGCUUGGUAGGUCCGCUGUGAAAACUCGAGCUCAACCUCGAGACGCCGGUGGAAACCAUCAGACUAGAGUCCGGAAGAGGAGAGUGGAAUUCCUGGUGUAGCGGUGAAAUGCGCAGAUAUCAGGAAGAACACCCGUGGCUAAGGCGGCUCUCUAGUACGGUACUGGACGCUGAGACGCGAAAGCGUGGGGAGCGAACAGG
rnacentral:rRNA from 1 species